rnacentral:rRNA from 1 species
AUGGCGAACUCUGCAUCUGGUCUGGCUGUGCAUGAUGACUGUAAGAUCAAGUUCUCAGACCUAAAGGCGAGACGAAGCUUUAGGUUCAUCGUGUUCAAGAUUGACGAGAAGUCCAUGGAAAUCAAGGUGGAGAGGCUCGGUGAGACCGGUUACGGCUACGAAGAAUUCACAAACAGCCUCCCAGCUGACGAGUGUCGCUACGCAGUCUAUGACCUCGACUUCGUAACCGAUGAGAACUGCCAGAAGAGCAAGAUCUUCUUCUUCUCCUGGUCUCCUGACACGGCAAGAACAAGGAGCAAGAUGCUUUAUGCGAGCUCCAAGGACAGGUUCAGGAGGGAGAUGGACGGCAUCCAGUGCGAGAUCCAAGCGACCGACCCCAGUGAAAUGAGCCUCGACAUCAUAAAAAGCCGAGCUCACUAA